UGCCAGCCCUGGAAAAUGUGCUCACUGGAUGGGGGUGUGCAAAACUGAUGGCCCGUCUGGGCCAAAAGCAAAACCAGAGCCAAAGAGAAAGCCAUGUGCUCGCAAAUGCGGGACACGUACUUGCGCUAUAAUUAUUUCGUACGUGAGCACGUGAGCCCGCCGAAAGACAAUGAGUCGCCGUAGCCGGAGAAAUGGAAAACGCAGCCUGGAGUUCGAAGACCUGAGUCCGGAGAGCGUCUGCUGCGUCUGCGGCCGGAAGAAGACGAGUCGGACGCGCUAAGGUUAGCAUAUAGCACAUCAGAGAGAUUAAAGUGUGGACUUCCUUCGCAUAAAAUAAUAAUGCUGUGCAUCAUAAGAACCCGACAAAGGCAACACGUGGCUACAGUUUUGGUCCCCCAAUCGCUAAUUUUCACACAGCCCCACAGCGUGACAUAAGGAAAAAUUUAUUGUCAUUACCUUGAAAGUUGGCCGGAAAGUCUUGGCGUCAUAUUGGCAGAUUUAUCAUCGUUUAUAUUAAUGGCUCUUUAUUACAAGCUUUCAUAUCGAUACGGAAUCCAACUUAAGCAGUAGAAUAUACAACUUCCUGCUUUGGAUAGACCUCAUCCAGAGUCAGCACUUUGGAAGCAUAUAUCUAAUUAAAGGACUGUCCCCUUGGUUCCCAACUGGUCCACAUCUCAUCCACGUCGUCAUUAGCAUCGUCAUGAUCGGAAUAAAUGAAAGCACCCAACCACUACGACCGCAUGCAGCUUAAUUCUCAUAAAAGUCACAUAAAGUAAAUAAGUUUGAUUAUAAGCCACAGAAAGGGGAACACAACAGAGUGAAAAAAUGGGUGCAAAGGAAGUACACAGCGAGAAAAAUACAUAAUGAAUUCAUAUUGCGAAAGCAGAAAUUUAAUUGUUAGGCGGUCAUUUAAAGGACUUAUUAAAAUACUUCUUGCUUCAUUUCAAGUUUAAUGAUAGGAUUUGAUUUAUG